GCCGCCAUCCUCAAAUCCGGCCCAAGACGCGUCCGCCCCACGCGCCCGAGUCAUCGAGGAACACUCCUGCCUGCCUCCGGCGUCCACGCACAUCUCCACCUCACCUCGGCGCCGUCCUCUCGCCAUGUCGUCGCACGCGUUCGCGGAGGCGUCCAUCCCGGCACCGGCCUCACGCACCGUCUACAGCUCCCAACUCUGCUCCUCUCCGUUCUCCCUCCGUAUUUCGCCUUCUCUCCCUUCCUCUCCAAGCACCGUCCUCCUCGCCUAGACAGAUGGAGUCGACCUCUGGCGAGGAUGCUUCGAAGCGCAACCUGCUCCCGUCUGUGCUCGUCUCCAACCUACAGCCUGUGCUCGCUGCCCGCCGCCCGUCCGCGGCAGUGGUCAGCACCGCCGCCACAGCUAGCGAGGCUGAGGCCUUGGCUCAGGAAGCAGAGGCGUCCGAUGCCCCCGCGGGAGAUGGGACGCCGGCGAGGCCCAUCGUGCUGCUGACCUGUGCCGGGGGGAUCUGGUCGGCGGGUCUCGCGGCGCUCGUCGACGCCCUCGUUGCCGCCGACCGCUGCAACGUCCACAUGUGUGCCCCCCGAAUCGGACAAGCAAGCAUGUGGCCAUUCAAUUACCAUCCGUGAAACCACUGCGUCAUCCGUGGAUUUCACAGGCGCUAAAGCUUUUGAGACAUUAGACACGCCGGUUGACUGCGUCUCGUUGGCCUUAUCUGGGAGGCUGUUUGCCUGUUUCCUUGGUCGUCUCCUGCUUUGGUGACCAGUGAUAUCAACACGGGAUCAAAUUGUGGAUAUGAGAAAAUUGAUCCCCCAAGCAUUAGCAGCAAAAAGGUUUCUGGAACAGAAAAUUAUAGUAUUGAUGCUAAGGAUGCUAAAUAGAGAAUUCUGAAGACGGCUUCACCGAAAGUGCGGAAACUAGAGACUAAAGAGAUCAGACCCAACAAAGAAAAAAAUCGACACUGCAAGGAGGCCAAAGCCUACAUCGUGACCCCCGAGCACCCUGCUAUGGUGCUGCCAGCGCAGCCGCCUCGCAGCUGCUCCUGCCAAGAAGGGUGAUGCCAAGACCAGGCCUUGAAGGCUGUCAAGGUUGUGAAGUCUGGGUCAGGAAAGAAGAAGACCAAGAAGAUUCGCACGUCCGUGACAUUUCACCGCCCCAAGACCCUGAAGAAGGCUAGGGACCCCAAGUACCCAAGAAUCAGCACUACCGGAAGGAACAACCUUGAUCAGUACCAAAUUCUCAAGUAUCCCCUCACCACAGAAUCAGCGAUGAAGAAGAUUGAAGAUAACAACACUCUGGUCUUCAUUGUCGACCUCAAGGCAGAUAAGAAGAUCAAGGCUGCUGUCAAGAAGAUGUAUGACAUUCAGGCCAAGAAGGUCAACACCCUGAUCAGGCCUGAUGGAAAGAAGAAGGCUUACGUGAAGCUUCUCAUGCAUGGGCGUCGCCUAUGAGACGACCAAGAGUGGCGUCGGCGUCGCCUCCAUGGGCGUCAUGCGCCUCAAGCUUGUCAUGAAGUCUAUCGUCCUCAUCGUCAUGGCCAGAGUCCUCGGCAUCUAUGACCUCAUCAUCGCCGCCAUCAUCUCUGUCGGGAUCAACCCCAAGGCCAAGCCCAAGCCCUACUUCUUAGACGGCUACGCACACCUCUCCUUCGAACUCGCAUGCAGCCUUGCUGUCCUCGCUGUCGGCAUGGCCAUCAGCAUCGUCAGAGACACCAGAGUCAGUGACUGCAUCUAAACUGUGAGAUGUGUGCAAGAUUGGGUUUGUUGUAUUUGGAGUUCCUCAUAGAAAAAUCAUACAUAUGCUCUAGAGUUCCUCAUAGAUUUGGUGCCCGCGAUCUGCCAUGGAUUUGAUUUAAGGUGAGCUCCCUUUACUUAUUUUGGCGUCUUGCUUGGUUGGCUCGGAUUCGUGUUAUCGGUCGACCUAUCGUGGAGCCGAGAGAGAGAUUUGGUUCUUUCUUCGCAGAUUUGGGGAGAUCGGUCGUGUUCGCGCUGCGAGAUUCAAUUUUUUAUGCCUGUUUUAUUCACGAGAUUGCAAGAACGGGACUGCUAGGCAAGAUGAGUAUACCUGAAAUUUAGUUCUAGAAAUUCACUGCUACCAGUCUCAGGAAUAGGCUGGGUUGAACUUAUACAUGAGAUAUCCACAUGUCCAGGUGCAUUGUCUGAAUUUGAUUAGAAGUGUGUAAUGUUAGUUCUUAUAAAAAAGCAACUCAAAAAGGGCCAAAGUUUGGAUGUACCUUCUGGGUUAUUGACGCAGAUAUCUUUAUCGCUAUAUGUGCUUGGUUUGCUAAGUGGCACAUUUAAUCUAGAGAAUUUUAGUCUCCCUCCAUAAAAUGGUGGAGCAGAAUGACUUCUAAAUCUACUACACUUGGAAGUUUUGGGUCUCUGAUUUAGUCCAGAGUUGUGUUGAUUCAACAAAUCUUGAGUAAACAGAUUGCCAUUUGCCAUAUUCAAAGAAGGAACAUUCAAAUGACAACCAUUAUCACCUGCUGUCUCAGGAGAAAUAUUGACUGACAACCUCAUGUCAAAUUUUGAUUUCCAAGUUAUCAGGUCUUCUUCAGAACCAAGCUGGUCGGUUGAACCACACUUAUCAUUGAAGUAAUUAAGCGGUUGUAUUUCAUUGUUGAUGUAAUCAAAAAUUUUAGUUCCUUCAAAUAUAAUAGAUGAAUCAUUGCUAAAUCUAACAUUGUUGUCAAUGUUUUCAUAGUUCCAAGAACGAAAACAUUUAUCUGAUGUCCUGUUAAGUGUGUGCAAGGUCCUUGGAUGACUGCAAGGUGUAUCAACCAACAAGGAUGGGUGAGAAAAAUGAUUUAAAGUAUCCUUGAGGGAGGACCUAUCUAUCAAGUCACUGUUCCAUAGAGCAUGAAUAUAAGGGAAAUUCAUCUGGUCAAUAGCACCAACCUCUAGCCCUUCAACACAUCCAGUUGCAGUCCCCAACUUCUUACUGGUGCUGGACUUUCUCAAAACUCUACAGGUGCCCCUGGAAGUUCUACCACCAUCAUGUUAAAAUCCAUUAUCGAGUAAGCAAUCCCCAUUUAACUUUUCAAACUUGUCAUAUAAUACAUCCUAGCCUGAGGUUUGUGCCUUCAAGUUGGUUUUAUUUUGCACAAAAUCGGACGUCAUUUCAUUUGGCUUAUUGAGAGCCCUGAAGCAAGAUUCUGGUAUUUCAACUUCUGGACCAAUCAACUCAGUCUCUUGUUUGUGAGCAAAAUAACCUUCAGUUGGCACAUCUUCCAUCAUUACAAGAUUAUCAGAAUAUGCAUACUCAUGGAAUAUACCUUCAGUCCUUUGCCUUUUCCAACAAGUUGGGUUAACACUUGAGAUAUCAUCAUUUAAUUGGGAAGGGCCAUCGUCUAACCACUUAUAACUGUCAUUUUCAGGAUAAUGCAUUUGCUUAUACCCUAACUUGUAAUCAAUACUGGCAACAUUGUCAUCCAGGCGGCAUGAAUUAGUGAUCCUUCUAGAGAAACAGACUAUGCAAAACAAAUGUCAUAUUAAUAAUCUAGAAACAGCUUCGAGAUGGGUUUUAUCUAUUGAUGAGGAACCUGUUAAGAAAUGUUUGAUUCGCCUGUAGCUGCAAGGAAUGCUAACUUUUUUUGGUUGGUCUCUGCGGAGGAUGCCAUUGUCAGUUGUAAAUAUUGGCAGCAUAUUAGGAAACAAAUUAUCCCUAUUUUGAGUUGCACACACAUUUCAUGUUAUUAGUGUGAAUUUGUGAGAUAUUGAGGUUGAUGAUAUAUAUGUUGUUCAUUUUUAUG